rnacentral:lncRNA from 1 species
UCACGUUUGGAACCACAUUUUUGGCAUCGCAUGAAAUCAUAAAUUUCACAUUACCCUCAUCUGCUUCUAUGCACAGAAACAGGACUAAAAACAGAAGAAAAAAGAAAAACAAGAAAAAAAUAAAUAAAAAUCCUAGAUAGUACCACCUCGCCUUGUCAAGGGAAAGCGAGCCAAAAACAUUGUCCUUCAAAGUGUAAGCGCCGUCUUCAGCGAAGCCCCUCCCCCCCUCAAACCACAAGACAUUUAGUGCUUUUAUCAACAAUUUUAUGAAAGUUGAUGGCUGUCCUUUACUACAUGCCCUGAGAAAAUCAUCUCCAUGGGUACUUCUCUCUGACAAGGCACAGAUAGAAAAUGAUGAUGCCUCCGUAGGUGGAAUGUGAUGGGCGCCGUCUCGCAUCGUUGUGGUGGGAGCCAAAGGGAGCAGGGGAAG